AAACAUUUCUUAUAAUAAAUUAUUAUAAGUAAAAUCUGCUCAAUGAAUAUAAAUAGCCGCAGAAUAUUUACUGUGCUAAGGUAGCAUAAUCAUUUACCUUUUAAUUAAAGGUCUGUAUGAAUGAUUUUACAUUUAAAUUACUUUUUUAUAAAAUAUUAUUGAAUUUAAAUUAAUCAUAAAAAUGUUUUUAUAAAUAAAAAAGACGAUAAGACCCUAUUGAACUUUACUAAAGUUUAGCUGGGGAAGCUAAUUAAAUACAAUUUUAAUUUUUAAAUAAAAAAUUCUAAUAUAAUUAAUUACAAAAGUUACCAUAGGGAUAACAGCGUAAUAUAAUUUUAAAGCUCUUAUUAAAAAUUAAGUUUACGACCUCGAUGUUGAAUUAAGCUUCUUUAAAACGCAAUAGUAUUAAAAGUAGGUCUGUUCGACCUUUAAUAACUUACAUGAUCUGAG
rnacentral:rRNA from 1 species